CGUCAUGACAUGGUAGGGCAUGGCCAUGGCACGAGUCGGGACGUCACUUGACUUGGCAGGGAGUGGCCAUGGCACGAGUCAGGACGCCGCAGGACGUGUCAGCACAUGGCAGUGGCACGUGUCAUGAUGGGUCAUGACAUGGCAGGGCGUGGCCAUGAUACGUGUUUGGACGGACAUGACCACGGUACGAGUCGGGACGUCGCAGGACAUGCAAGGGAGUGGCCAUUGCACGAGUCAGGACGUCACAGGACGCAUCGGGACAUGGCCAUAGUACGUGUCAGGACGCACCGGGACGCAUCAGGACGUGGUCAUGGCACGAGUUGGGACGUCCAGGACAUGGCAGGGCGUGGCCAUGGCGCGAGUCGGGACGUCGCAGGACAUGGCAGGGCUUGGCCAUGGCACGAGUCAGGACGUCGCAGGACAUGGCAGGGCGUGGCCAUGGCACGAGUCAGGGCGUCGUCCUGACGCGUCAGGACAUGGCCAUGACACGAGUGAGUACGUCAUAGGUUGCGUCAGGACAUGGCCAUAGCACGAGUCAGGACGUUGCAGGACACGUCAGGACAUGGCCAUAGUACGUGUCACGACGCAUCAGGAUAUGGCCAUGGCACGAGUCGGGACGACGCCCUGACUCGUGCCACGUGGCCAUAGCACGAGUCAAGAUGUCGCAGGACAUGGCAGGNNNNNNNNNNNNNNNNNNNNNNNNNNNNNNNNNNNNNNNNNNNNNNNNNNNNNNNNNNNNNNNNNNNNNNNNNNNNNNNNNNNNNNNNNNNNNNNNNNNNNNNNNNNNNNNNNNNNNNNNNNNNNNNNNNNNNNNNNNNNNNNNNNNNNNNNNNNNNNNNNNNNNNNNNNNNNNNNNNNNNAGAGUCGGGACGUCGCAGGACGCGUCAGGACAUGGCCAUGGCACGUGUCAGGGCGCGUCAGGACAUGGCCAUGGUACGUGUCAGGACGCGUUAGGAAAUGGGAGGGCGUGACUAUGGCACGAGUCGGGACGUCACAGGACAUGGCAGGCGUGGCCAUGGCACGAGUCAGGACGUCGCAGGAAGCGUCAUGACAUUGCCAUGGCACGUGUCAGGACGCGUCAGGACAUGGAAGGGCGUGGCCAUGGCACGAGCAGGACAUCGCAGGAUAUGGCAGGAUAUGGCCCUGGUACGUGUCAGGACGUGUCAAUACAUGGCCAUGGCACGACAUCGCACCUAGCCACACCACGUCACUCCAAGCCGCACCACGUCUAUGGCUUACCAAUUCUUUGGAACAUGUCAAGCGCAAUGAUGUUGGUGGUCGUUGGCGGCGGUGGUGGAAAGUCAGGGUGGUUCGAGCAGUAGCGUCCAGCGACGGCCGAUCGACGCUUGGUGGUUGGCUUCGGUUUCUUCAAAUCCUAAUCACUUGUUGUGGUUGGGCAACACGUCAAGCGCAAUGAUGUUGGUUGUCUUUGGUGGCGGUGGUGGAAAGUCACGGCGGUUCGAGCGGUAUCCACCUGCGACGGUUGGUCGAUGCUUUGUUGUUGGGGGCGGAUUUUUCAAAUCGGAAUCACUUAUUUUGGUUGCGACAAUGGAGGUGCCUCGUGCUUAUUGGCGUUUGGUCAUCUAUACGCUUUUAUAAUAAUGUUAUGUAUUUUUCCUAUUUUUUAAUAUAUUUUUUAGGAAUUUUUAUGCAUUUGUAUGCAUUUUUUUGUUACUUUAAAUUAUUUUUGUGUCACUUUUUAAUAAAAAUAUUAACUCUCUUAUAUGUUAUACUAUUCCAAGAUGUAUUGGAAUUUUUCUCCAUCAUUGUUUCUAUUUUUAUAAUAAUUUUCAUAUUUUUUAGUAUUUUAUUAAGUAUUUUUCAUUUUAAAACAAAAAUAGUUACAAAAAAAUUUUCUUAUAAAAAAUAUCAUUUACAAUGUUUAAAAGUCAUUUGUCAAUAUAUUAACCAAGUUGCACUCAAUAUUUCAAAAAAAUAUUAAUUUUAUGUAGAAAAAUACCAUUUACAAUGUUUAGAAGUAAUUUGUUAAUAUCUUAGCCAAGUUGUACUUUGGUUUGUGCUAUUUGGUGUUGUACAUGUCUAUUAUGAUUAUCUGGCCAAAACAUGUCUACUCUGAAACUUGAUUCUUAUUUUAAGUAUAUAUAAGGGGGGUAGAGGAGUUGAGAGACACCUCAGGUGCUUGCUGCCAGGAAGGGGCGGGCAUGCAUGGGGGACGGUGGCAUGGGGCGUGGGCUUUGGGGGCAUUCACAGCUUGUCCGUGCUACGUCCUCGAUGUUCCUAAACCGUGCCGGCAAGUACUCGUGUUGGCUUGUAGUACGCCUGGUGGUGGAACCGCUCGUGAAAAACAUUGGUUUUUGGCAACGAACAGUAGAGUGUCAUGCAAGUAGCGCCGCAAGGUGUCGUGCGCAUGGGGCGAAGCUCAGUACUUGUUGAUCGCCAUUCGAUGUUGCGGGCAAAAUCGGGAGGCGACAUCGCGAGUGGCGGCUGAUGGCUUUUGACAACAGAACGGCAAAGUGUCGUGCAAGUAGCGCCGCAAUGUGCCGUGCGCAUGGGACAAAGCUUAGUAAGUUGUUGUUGAUUGCCAUCGGUUGUUGUGGGUUGUGUCUAGAAUCUCUCGUGGUGGCUGAUAUCUUUCGACAACGAACGGCGGAGCGUCGUGCAGGUAGCGCCGCAAGGUGUCGUACGCAUGGGGCGAAGCUCAGUAGAUGUCGAUUGCCAUCGGUUGUUGCGGGCAACAUCGCUCAUGGCGGUUGAUGGCUUUCAGCAAUGGAACGGCGGAGCGUCGUGCAAGUAGCGCCACAAGGUGCGUGCACAUGGGGCAAAGCUUAGUAAGUUGCCUAUUGCCAUCGAUUGUUGUCGUUUGUGUCUGUAAACCCCCCUCCGUGGUGACUUAUAGCAUUUGACAAUGAACGGUGGAGCAUCGUGCAAGUAGCGCCGCAAGGUGCCGUGCGCACGGGGCGAAGCUCAAUAGAUGUUCAUUGCCAUCGGUUGAUGCGGGAAACAUCGGGAGGCGACAUCGCUCGUGGCAGCUGAAGGCUUUUGGCGUAAAAUGGAAAAGCAUCGUGCAAGUAGCACCGCAAGGUGCCGUGCGCACGGGGUGAAGCUUAGUAAGUUGCUGAUAGCCAUCGGUUGUUGCGGGCAACAUCGGGAGGCAACACCGCUCGUGGCAGCUGAUGGAUUUUGGCAACAAAAUGGAAAAGCAUCAUGCAAGUAGCGCCACAAGGUGUCGUGCGCAUGGGGCGAAGCUUAGUAAGUUGCCAAUUGCAAUCGGUUGUUGCGGGCAACAUCGGGAGGCGAUAUCGCUAGUGGUGGCUGAUGGCUUUUGACAACAAAAUGGCAAAGCAUCGUGCAAGUAGCGCCGCAAGGUGCCGUGCUCACGGGGCGAAGCUUAGUAUGUUGGUGAUUGCCAUCAGUUGUUGCGGGAAACAUCGGAAGGCGACAUUACUCGUGGCGGCUGAUGGCUUUUCGCAAUGGAACGGCAAAGCAUCGUGCAAGUAGCGGCGCAAGGUGCCAUGCGCAUGGGGCGAAGCUUAUUAAAUUUCCUACCGCCAUCGGUUGUUGUGGGUUGUGUCUGGCAUUGUUCAAAACCCCUAUUCGUGCUUUCGGGGCUUGUCUUGGCUUUGCAAUGUUCGCAUCGGCAACAACACAUGGUUGCGCGUCAUGUGUUGGGGAUGGUGUUGGCUUUGUAUCGGCGAGGCAAGUGUACGUGCCACACAUGAGUGGUGUUCGGCUUGUGUGGCUAGGUUGGAUCCCUGCUCGAGCAGCUACAUCCUAGCUUGCAUGCCAUCUCAAUCAUGUCACAAGCGCAAAUUAGGCUUGUUGGACGUCGGUUUUCUCUGUUGCAUACCUAAUUCCAAGGCAUUAUCAAGCAAAAUCGGUCGCCUUUCGACCCUCGCGUUUGACGUGCGGGGUGAACCAAAAGCUGCAGUUGUGUCCCAGGUCGUCCUGGCUUCGCCUUGCGAUGAAUUGGUCCACGACUUAGCAUGUUUGGGCUCUCGGAUUUGGUAAACGCAAUGGGCACGGUAUCACGCUCCGCCCUUUUUCUAAGAGGUUAUGCCACGCGGGCGAUGACUGCGCGAAACGAAGGCGAUGAUUUGGCGCACGCAUGGCACCCUUUUCUAGACAAGUCUAGAUCUUUCCACAAAUGGAAGACUCUAGACCCAUCUUGUAUAUAAGAUGUUUGUAGAGAUUUGUAGAGAUUUGUAGAGUUUUCUAGGAUUUUGAUCUUAGCCAUUAAUUAAAAUAGAUCUUAGCCGUUGGUUAGGGACACUAGCAACUAUAAAUAGGCUAGCAAUUGGCAUUUGCCAUCAUAGAAGAAGAUAGAAGACAUAGAAGAAAACAAUCAAGCAAUCCAACACUCUUGUACAAAGUUCUCUUGUUUAAUACAAUGUUUUCUCACAAGCUUCUCUUCUUAGCUUCUCUUAGCUUUGUUGUGGUGUUAGUUUGGGGAAAGGCUGACUUAGCACAUUGCAGGGGUGAAUUGUGACUAAGGCCGCACGGAAGAUAGCCAGGGAGUUAUCCGGUCCUUGACAGUUGGUAUCAGAGCAACACUACGAAAGGGUUCGUGGCUUACCUUUGGCACAUACAUGACAUGGCUAGCUGUGGUGAGGAGCAAGUUCGCAAGGGUCGCGAGGAGGAGUGCACCAUCCUACCAACACAUAAGGGAGGUAAGUCUCGUGACGUUCUUGCUAGUUUUGAAGCUCGUUUAAUUAAGCUUGAGAUAGCUAUGGCGGACACAAAAGAGAGGUUGGAUCGCAUGGAGCAAACCAUAGAAGAGUACGGCGAGAAGGUUGACACCUCGUUGGAUACUUUCCAAGAGAGGAUUGAUGUUGAUUGGAUGACACGGAGCAAACCUUAGAAGAGUACGGCAAAAAGGUUGACACCUCGUUGAAUACUUUCCAAGAAAGGAUUGAUGCUGCUGGGGCAGAGUUAGCCAACGAGAAUAGCUUGUUUUAAGCCAAAGUGCAUCAAGCCUUGGCAGAUUUGAGGCAGGACAUUGAUGGAGCCAAGUUAAGCUUGGAGGCAUCCAAGGCUGCUGUGGAGGAAACAAAGGCUGACUGGGCUAUGUGCAGAAGUGCUUUCAUGGCAAAAGAGGUUGCCUCGACAUCAACCGUGCAAGCCUGAGACACUGCCCGUGCCUUAGACAUGCCAAAGCCAAAGGAAUACGAUGGAGCUCAGGACGUAUUAGUCAUAGAUAACUACCUUUUGCAUAUGGAGUGCUACUUCGAGGCGCUCAACUUAACAGGAUUAGCCCUGGUACGUACUGCCACCUUACAUUUUACCGACAUGUCUGCACUUUGGUGGCGUAGGAAACGAGCCGACAUUGACAGAGGGCUAGUCGUCAUUGACACUUGGGAAGCCCUAAAGAAAGAGCUCAAGGAGGAGUUCUACCCGGUGCACGUAAGCCGCGAGGGUAGGGCAAAAAUGAGGUACCUCAAGCAGGGCAAUUCUAUCAAGGAGUAUGUUAAGGCAUUCUCCAAUUUAAUGCUGCAAUUGACAACAUGAGCGACGAGGCUAGGGCAAAAUGAGGGACCUCAAGCAGGGCAAUUCUAUCAAGGAGUAUGUCAAGGCAUUCUCCAAUUUAAUGCUGCAAAUCGACAACAUGAGAAAAUGAGGAUCUCUUAUUCAACUUCUUAUCAGGACUUAAACCUUGGGCGGUUCAAGAGUUAAGAUGAUCCAAGGCAGACGACAUUUCGACGGCUCUCAAGUUAGCUGCCACAUUGCAAGACUAUACUAGUGCUGACAAAGGGGUUCAUGUCAAGCACCAAGGUGAUUCAUCCAAGUCCAAGACUCAAAGGACUUGGCCGGUUAAAUGUAGGGGAGCCAAGGACGGAACCCACAAGCCAAAAACCCAUGGAGAUAAGGGGAAACAGGCCAGAGACAACAAGAAAGAGGCCAAACCAAGGGAGGGUUGCUUCCUAUGUCAAGGGCCACACUGGGCUAGGGACUGCCCACAGCGUAAAGCCAUGAGCGCAAUGUUGGAGCAAAAGGAGCAUGGCAAUGAAGCUACAAUGGGGUGUCUUAAGCUGCUUAGCGCAUUGAACGUUAAGACUCAUCACCAGGCGGGCGACAGGAGUCUCAUGUACGUGCAGGGGCACGUCAACAACAAGGUUUCCCACUUAAUGAUUGAUACGGGCGCCACUCACAAUUUCAUGACUCCAACCGAGGCGGAACGGUUGGGACUCAACAACAAGGUUUCCCACUUAAUGAUUGAUACGGGCGCCACUCACAACUUCCUGACUCCAACCGAGGCGGAACGGUUGGGAAUCAAGGUGACAAGCUCCAAGGGUUGGCUCAAGACUGUAAAUGCCGAUGCCAAAUCCGUGGAUGGCGUGGUGAAAGGGACCGAGAUGAAGCUACGCAACUAGUCAGGUAAGGUGGAUUUCUCGGUGGCAACAAUAGACGAUUCUCCAUUGUUCUAGGGAUGGAGUUCCUUUGGCAGUUCAAGGCUGUCCCGUUCCCUAGAUUCAACAUGUUAAUGAUCUUGGAAUGGGAACCAUGCAUGGUCCCUACUGUUGCACCUCCCAAGACAUCCAAAUCUCCUCAACUUAGUGCCAUGCAGCUGCCGAAGGGACUCAAACGUGGGGAGGAGACAUGGUUAGUCGUUCUUCAGCAAGAGGAAGAAGGGGGAGUUUAUGGUGAUAUCCCCGCUUGCAUCAAGAACAUGCUGGAAGAGUUCAAGGACGUGAUGCCACCCGAGUUGCCCCAUAAGCUGCCGCCCAGGCGUGGGGUGGAUCACAAGAUCGAGUUGGAACCAGGGGCUAAGCCACCAGCCAAAGCACCCAACCGGAUGGCGCCACCAGAACUGGAGGAGCUGCGAAAACAGUUGGGGGAAUUGUUGGAGAUGGGCUUCAUCCAACCUUCCAAGGCACCGUAUGGUUCACCGGUGCUAUUCCAACGCAAGGCGGACGGAUCGCAGUGAUUUUGCAUAGACUAUCGGGCUCUCAAUCAUCCAACCUGCCAAAGAACCGUAUGGUUCACCAGUGCUAUUCCAACGCAAGACGGACGGAUCGUAGCGACUUUGCAUAGACUACCGGUCUAAAUAAGGUAACAAUAAAAAAAGUAUCCAAUUCCUCUUAUUUCUGACCUUUUUGAUCAAAUAGGGAAGGCCAAUUAUUACAUAAAGCUUGACCUAAGAUCGGGGUACUAUCAAGUGCGCAUAGCCGAAGGGGACGAGAGCAAGACAACUUGUGUCACUCGAUAUGGGGCAUUUGAAUUCUUGGUGAUGCCCUUUGGCCUGACAAAUGCGCCAGCCACAUUUUGCACUCUCAUGAACGAAAUCCUGCAUCCCUACUUGGACCGGUUUGUGGUGGUCUACUUCGACGACAUAGUCAUAUAUAGCAACACCAUGGAGGAGCAUGUAGAACAUGUACGGACUAUUCUCAAGACCUUGCGGGAUCUCUCAUGAAUGAAAUCCUUCAUCCCUACUUGGACCGGUUCGUGGUGGUCUACUUUGACGAUAUAGUCAUAUAUAGCAACACCUUGGAGGAGCAUGUGUAACAUGUACGGACCGUUCUCAAGACUUUGCGGGACAAUGAGCUUUAUGUAAAGAAGGAGAAGUGCUCAUUUGCCAAGGAAGAAGUGCACUUCCUAGGCCAUGUGAUCAAAGGCGGCAAACUCAUGAUUAGGGGUGUGCAUUCGAUUUAUCGAUUCGAUUUUGACCCUUAUCGAUAAUUACUUAUCGAUUAUCGAUUUGUACAUAUGCCUAUCGUUAUCGUUUAAAGAAGAUCCGGGCGAUCGAGGAAUGGGAGCCACCGACCGAGGUACCAAAGCUUUGAUCUUUCCUUGGUCUUGUGAAUUAUUAUCGGCAUUUCAUUACAGACUAUUCAGCCAAGGCGGCACCACUCAUUGACCUACUCAAGAAGAAGAAGGCUUGGGAAUGGGACGACAAGUGCCAACGUGCCUUUGACAUGCUGAAGAAGGCUGUGACUGAGGAACCGGUACUGGCACUACCUGACGGCGCCAAGGCUUAUGAGGUGCACACAGAUGCGUCUGACUUUUCCAUAGGGGGUGUGCUUAUGCAAGAGGGGCAUCCGAUUUCUUAUGAAAGUCGCAAGUUCAACAACAGCGAGAGGCGCAAUACAGUACAGGAGAAGGAGAUGACUGCAGUGGUGCAUUGCUUGCGAGUUUGGCGACACUACUUGCUCGGGGCAAAGUUCGUGGUGCGCACGGACAAUGUGGCGACAAGUUACUUCCAAACACAGAAGAAACUCAGCCCUAAGUAAGCAAGAUGGCAAGACUUCCUGGCCGAGUUCGACUAUAUGAUGGAGCACAGACCGGGCAAGGCCAACUUUGUGGCGGAUGCACUAAGCCGCAGGGAACAAUGCAGCGACAAGCUACUUCCAAACACGGAAGAAACUCAGCCCUAAGCAAGCAAGAUGGCAAGACUUUUUGGCCGAGUUCGACUAUGUGAUGGAGCACAAACCGGGCAAGGCAAACUUUGUGGCGGAUCCGCUAAGCUGAAAGGCAAAAUUGUCGGCAAGGUCAAGAGUUCAGGUGGAGCUCUUGGAUUUUAUCAAGGCAGGCUUGCCGCAUGAUCCUUUAGCCAAGCAACUUGUGCAGAUGGCUAAAGAUGGGAAAACCAAACAAUUUUGGGUAGAAAGCGACUUGUUGGGCACCAAGGGGCAACGGAUAUAUGUACCCAAAUAAGAGAGGUUGCGCAAAAGUAUCAUUAAAUAGUGCCAUGAUACCGGAUGGGCGGGUCAUCCAGGACAAAAGCGCACUCAGGCAUUGGUAGAGGCUAAAAACUAUUGGCCUUGCAUGCGGGACGACAUCGAGUUAUACGUCAAGACUUGUCUUGUGUGCCAACAGGACAAGGCUUGCAACUGGACAGCAACCCUUGACACCGCAUGGACUUGUCAACAAGUAUACUGGGAAGUGUCCAGCGGCGUUCAAGGCAGCAAAAACUUGGCACGAGCAAACGGACUUAGCUCGGGCAUAUCUUGACAAGGCCUCCAAGAAAAUGAAGAAGUGGGCUGCCAAGAAGAGGAGGCACUUGGAAUUCAACGUGGGAGACUUGGUCAUGCUUAAACUCAACGCCGAGCAACAAAAGAGGCUAUGCAGGUUGUACAAGGGACUAGUUCGGCGCUACAACGUGGGAGAUUUAAUCAUGCUUAAACUCAACGCCGAGCAACAAAAGAGGCCACGUAGGUUGCACAAGGGGCUAAUUCGGCGCUAUGAGGGACCACUCCCCAUCCUUGCCAAGGUGGGAAAGGCUUCUUAUCGGGUGAAGCUGCCACUAAACUCAAGUUACAUCCUGUCUUCCAUGUGAGUUGUCUUAAGCCAUACCACGCAGACAUGGAAGACCCAUCAUGGAAUGAGUCACAUCGGGCACCACCAGCCAUUACCACAUCGUUUCACAAGGAAGUUGAAAGCAUCAUGGCUGACCAGGUGAUUCGGUGACGGUUCAGGAACAUUUGCAUGAGUACCUUAUUAAGUUGAAGGGGCUACCGGAAAGCGAGGCAAGUAUGGAGCCAAAGAAAGCUCUUUGGUAGUUUGAAAAUCAAAUACGGGCAUUCCACGAAGAGUCGAUGAGGGCGUCGACGCAAUAGGUGGGGCAUGUUGUCACGCUCCAUCCUUUUUCUAAGAGGUUAUGCCACGCGGGUGAUGACUAGACGACACGAAGGCGAUGAUUGGCACACGCAUGGCACCCUUUUCUAGACAAGUCUAGAUAUUUCAACAAAUGGAAGACUCUAGACCCAUCUUGUAUAUAAGAUGUUUUUAGAGAUUUGUAAAGUUUUCUAGGCUUUUGAUCUUAGCCAUUGAUUCAAAUAGAUAUUAGCCAUUGGUUAGGGACUCUAGCAACUAUAAAAAGGCUAGCAUUUGGCAUUUUCCAUCAUAGAAGAAGAUAGAAGACAUAGAAGAAAACAAUCAAGCAAUCCAACACUCUUGUACAAAGUUCUCUUGUUUAAUACAAAGUUUUCUCACAAGCUUCUCUUCUUAGCUUCUCUUAGCUUUGUUGUGGUAUUAAUUCGGGGAAAGGCUGACUUAGCACAUCGCAGGGGAGAAUUGUGACAAAGGCCGCACGGAAGACAGCUAGGGAGUUAUCAGGUCUGUGACAACGGGGCCUUUAUUGGCUCCUAUCUAUCCAAAGAAUGCUCCUUACGAAUGACGGUCUUGCUCGCCUUGGACUUGGCCGUGCCCUUUUGGGUCGGCCACGCUCAUGCGACGCCGGCGUCAAUGGGGAAUGCUACCUGGUUGAUCCUGCCAGUAGUCAUAUGCUUGUCUCAAAGAUUAAGCCAUGCAUGUGUAAGUAUGAACAAAUUCAGACUGGGGAAUGCUACCUGGUUGAUCCUGCAAGUAGUCAUAUGCUUGUCUCAAAGAUUAAGCCAUACAUGUGUAAGUAUUAACAAAUUAAGACUGUGAAACUGCGAAUGGCUCAUUAAAUCAGUUAUAGUCUGUUUGAUGGUAUCUACUACCCGGAUAACCGUAGUAAAUAUACAGCUAAUACGUACAACAAACCCCAGCUUCUGGAAGGGAUGCAUCUAUUAGAUAAAAGGUCAACACGGGCUCUGCCCGUUUCUGCGAUGAUUCAUGAUAACUCGACGGAUCGCACGGCCAUCAUACCAGCGACGCAUCAAUCAAAUUUCUACCCUAUAAACUUGGGCGUGAUGGCCUUGUCAUUAGCCUAUGUGCGAGCAAAACGAUCAUGCGGGUCGACAAGCUGUGGUGGAAAAUUGUUGGCCAAGGCCUUGGCAUGGUCAAGGUGCGCUUGGAAAAGGCUUGAAGAGGCAGCAUCAGCAAUGGUUGGGCGGCAUAGCACGGCAUGCGCGCCAAACUCAAUGGCAUGACACUCUUGGGUUGUGGCAGCUAUGUGCGGGCUAAGCUAAGGCGAUGCGAAAAUGCGGGUUGACGGCAAAGGCUUUCAAUAGCUAAGACUAGGCUAUGGGAAAAAGAAUACAAGCAAUGGCAUGAGGGAAAUUAGGUUGGCACGGACAAGGCAAAAAACUAGGCCAAGGCAGUGUGCGGGUGUAUGGGCGCCGGGCGUGUGCGGAAACAUCAUGGCAGCGGAUUGCCGGCAAGACAUUGGCAUGGGCAAUGUCUAAUUAAUCCAAGGAAUGGCACGGGCAGCCUUGGGGGCGAAAUUAAGCUGGCCUAGGAAAUGGCACAUGCAAAGCACAUGGAAAGCGGUUGGCAGCGGUUACCUUGUUUGUAGGCCAUGAUCUCCCAUGAUCUCCCAUUAUCCCAUGAACUGAUUAUUGUUUGUACUGUGGCCCCAUUUCGUGCAUAAUGAUCCUAAGUAGUUUGGGAUGUCAACUACAAGUUAGGAGCAUGAUGUAAAGAUGUUAGACAACAAGUGUCAUGAGCGGUUAAUUUUAAAGGCCUAUAAAUAGGACCUUUAACUUAGGCAGAAAUACGUAUAAUGAUCCUAAGUAGUUGGGGAUGCCAACUACAAGUUAGGAGCAUGAUUUAAGCUUAGUCCGACAAGUGGCAAAAGCUGUUUGACAAUAAGUGUCAUGGGCGGUUAAGUUUAAGGGCCUAUAAAUAGGACCCCUAACUUAAGCAAAACAACGAAGUAAGUUCAAGGGAAUUACUUGUGGGAAAAUAGAGUAAGUUCAAGGGAAUUACUUCGUGGGAAACAAUAGAGAAACGUGAGGUUUUUCUAGUGUUUCCAAAAGGGGGCUAAGGUUGUGCAUGGGCAGAUCUUAGUGUUUGCCAAGAACGACCAGGUGUUCUUCGUCAAAAGUGGGCUGUGAGCGGACGGAUAGUUCAUAGCAAUUGAGGGUCCUUCGUAUAUUUUCUAUAUUAAUGCAAAGGUUGAGAAUUUGUCAUGUAUAUGUUUUUGUUCCUUUAAAAUUCUAAUUUGUUGCCUAAAUUUCGUCUAAGGUCAAACUUGCUUAAAAUUGCAAGUGUUUCGGAAGGCUGAGUCAAGCACGGGACUUGACUGCCGCACGUGUGUGGUUUUGGACUAGGUCAAAAACGCCCCCGUGACACCUACCAUGGUGGUGACGGGUGACGGAGAAUUAGGGUUCGAUUCCGGAGAUGGAGCCUCAGAAAUGGCUACCAGCUCCAAGGAACGCAGCAGGCAUGCAAAUUACCCAAUCCUGACAUGGGGAGGUAGUGACAAUAAAUAACAAUACCGGGCUUUAUGAGUCUGGUAAUUGGAAUGAGUACAAUCUAAAUCCCUUAACGAGGACCCAAUCCUGACAUGGGGAGGUAGUGACAAUAAAUAACAAUACCGGGCUUUAUGAGUCUAGUAAUUAGAAUGAGUACAAUCUAAAUCCCUUAAUGAGGAUCGAUCAGAGAGCAAGUCUGGUGCCAGAAGCCGCGGUAAUUCCAGCUCCAAUAGGGUAUAUUUAAGUUGUUGCAGUUAAAAAGCUCGUUAUUGGACUUUAGGAUGGGCCGGCCGUCCGCCUUAGGUGUGCACCGGUCGUCUCGUCCCUUUUGCCGGUGAUGCCCUCUUGGCCUUAAUUGGCCGGGUCGUGCCACCGGCGCUGUUACUUUGAAGAAAUUAGAGUGCUCAAAGCAAGCCUACGCUCUGUAUACAUUAGCAUGGGAUAACAUUAUAGGAUUUCGGUCCUAUUACGUGGUCGUGCCAC
rnacentral:lncRNA from 1 species